GGGGGCGUAGCUCAGACGGUAGAGCGCUCGCUUUGCAUGCGAGAGGUACCGGGAUCGAUACCCGGCGCCUCCA
rnacentral:tRNA from 3 species